GAUGAACGCUGGCGGCGUGCCUAAUACAUGCAAGUCGAGCGAACAGACGAGGAGCUUGCUCCUCUGACGUUAGCGGCGGACGGGUGAGUAACACGUGGAUAACCUACCUAUAAGACUGGGAUAACUUCGGGAAACCGGGGCUAAUACCGGAUAAUAUAUUGAACCGCAUGGUUCAAUAGUGAAAGACGGUUUUGCUGUCACCUAUAGAUGGAUCCGCGCCGCAUUAGCUAGUUGGUAAGGUAACGGCUUACCAAGGCAACGAUGCGUAGCCGACCUGAGAGGGUGAUCGGCCACACUGGAACUGAGACACGGUCCAGACUCCUACGGGAGGCAGCAGUAGGGAAUCUUCCGCAAUGGGCGAAAGCCUGACGGAGCAACGCCGCGUGAGUGAUGAAGGUCUUCGGAUCGUAAAACUCUGUUAUUAGGGAAGAACAAAUGUGUAAGUAACUAUGCACGUCUUGACGGUACCUAAUCAGAAAGCCACGGCUAACUACGUG
rnacentral:rRNA from 1 species